CUAGAAUGUUUGGAACUACUGACUAAGAGGAAGAAAAACUGUAACUACCUUGCUUCUCUGGGGAGGAAUGAUUCUCAGCACCCUGGGUGAUGAACUUAAAGGUUUCAAGGCUGAAGAGAAAGCUAUUGUAGGAUAUGCUCCAACAAAAGAAAGGAUUAGCCAGUGGAUCCAACAUGGGAAGAGGUAAAGGAAGAUUUUAGGAUGACAACUGCACCAACCAGCCUAGAUUCGAACAGGAAUGAAAAGAUCAGGACAGAUGGAGAAACUAAGAAUCAGCAAAGAAAAAAUUGCAGCAGAAGAGACUGAGGAGACUUAGGCCCUACACAAAUCAACCUGUUGAGAUUGUCUGAUAUAAGAAUGGCUACUCCAGCCUUCUUUUGAUGUCCGUUAGAAUGAUAGAUGGUUCUCUACCCCCUUCACUUUUAAUCUGGUGAAAAAGGAAUAACACUUGUAUUGGCUGAAAUGAGUGAAGAGUUCAAACUUCCCGUAAAUUGCCUCUGUGAUUCCCCCACAACCAUCAGCUUCUUUGAAGUGGGAUGGCGGCUUGAAUAAGCACUUUUGACCUUGGCCCACACACUGCUCUGCUGGAAGGGAAAGACUCUGUUUUACCUUUGACUGUUCCUUUCUUUUGUGGAAACUGGAUUCUAAAGUCAAAGAAGACACAUCCUCAAAAGGACAUUUCAGACAUGCAUAGUAAGGGGAUAGCAAUCUAUAUAUAAAUUUGAAGGUUAUUUUCUUCUGAAUUAAAAAUAUAUCUUACCAUCUCCUGGAGCCACUCAAUGCAGAGGUCUCUGACUUGGAAGUUCCCUGCAAACCCCAAGGAGCUGUGAUCACACGUUCAUAAAAAUCAUCUUCUACGUACUUUGGUCAUGGAGAAAAUUUACAUGGGUCGUGAACUUUUGGUGUAUGGGAGAUGUGAGUGUGGGGACUGUGCAAGUGUUGAGGGGGACGGAAGGGUGAAGCAGAGUGGCAUCACCCUUCUGAUAGAGGCACACACAAUGUGUUGUGCUUUGUCUACUGAAUUGAAUGAACCUCCUCCAAACUUCCAAGGUUGAAUUGAUGGAAAAGGAACAUUAGAGAAUCUGAGCCUUUCAACAGUUUCAGCUGAAAACACGAACAUCUUCCAAAGUUUCUCUGUGACUCUAGUAAAGCAAAUGAUCUUCCUCAAAUAUUUGCCAAAUGUCACCUCCAUGCCAAGUGCUUGGUCUUCGGCCCUGGGGUCAGGAAGAACUCUGAUAUAACUUUCAACAAUUUCCUCCACCCCUUCUACCAUCAAAGCAAGGCCCCUGCAAGCACUUCUGUAAAUUACAAAAUGUAUAUGGUCCAUAAUAAUCUGUAGCCUUUCCAGCCACGGGAGCCUUAAAUAGAAACUUAGACAGACUGAAAAUAGAAGUGGCUCAGAGGAAAUUGCUUCGACCAUGGGGGAUAAGUUGCAUUUCUGGUAGUUGUAAAAGGGAACUUUCUAACCUCAUAUCCUUGGGUUUAACUUGCAUACAUUCUUCAUUUAGUGGUUUUAAGGGUAGUGAGCAGUGAUUUCUAUGGGAGUGUUCAUUUUGGCUCUCAUUUCUCUCUGUUUGAGACAGGUAGGUUGGGGGUGAGUAGAGCCUAGGGAAAGACCUGGAGAAAGAGAGUCAAUGAGGGCAGAUGAAGAGAAUGGAGGUGAGAGCUAGAUCCCUUUUGGGGCUAGAGUGAACUCAUAAUUUAAAGGACAGAAUAUCAGGUAGGUAGUUUUGGGGAGAAACUCCAUUUGUGAGGUAUACACAUGCCAAGGACAAAUAAGAGAUCACUGGUUUUAAAUAAUUCUCCUGGUGUGCUCUCUCAGGAGACAUCCGGGUUGUCGGUAAUGAAUACAGCUGAAUGUCUAUCAGGCUGAACCAAGCUGACUGGGGCUUGAAGCUGCUAAUGAUACUUAGUUGCUGGGACAGGGAUUCUCAGAGGUGGGCAGCGGGUGUGAGGCCAGAAUCCCUGAGGUUUGGGACCAAUCUUCCUCACCCACCCCAAUGGUAGUGAUCCAGUUUUCUGAAUUGUUUUCUUAUACCCUCCUAGAGGAUGGGAGUGGGUUUAAGAAACAGUAGAAGAAAGUAUGUACCCAAAUUCACGGUAACAUAUGAUUGUUCGCUGGAACUUUUUCUAUGAAGACUACAGUGGUGGAAAUAGAGGGGAGCAGCCCUCUUGGAAAAUUAAUGUACGAGUAGCAACAUUUCACCAAAGAGACUUUUUCUCUUUCCUGAAUCUACCAAGGGUGAAAAGAGGAAAUAAAUAUCAUACAAAGGAAGCAAGACAGAAAUCCCCUUGGCCACUGAUGCUAGUGCCCCGAAUUGUUCCAAAGGCUUUUAGGAAUGGUAAGGAGGCUGAGAAGGUGGGCACAAGCAUUCCUUGAAAGCAGCAGAAAAGGAUGUAAAAAAGAGGUAAAGAAUGCUGUUAAGAGUUUAUGCCAGUCCUGAGGACUGGCUCCUCUAUCUAGUGCCCUCUACAGUCAGGAGCAGAAGCUGUCCUUGACUUAAGCCUGUCUGCACUGCUGCCAUCCCUUACAUGGCUCCACACCACAUGUACUGGACAGUUUCAUGCUCACUGUCCUUGCAAUCAGUUGCUGGCUGAAGAGUGUAAGAGACCUGAAACUUGAAUCCUGGUUCUGCCUCUUUUUCGAUACAUAGCCUUGGGUGUGUUGUUUUCUUAUAAACAAGUUAAAGAUUAGAAAACAUUU